rnacentral:rRNA from 1 species
GACGUAGGGCGCGAGCGUUGUCCGGAAUUAUUGGGCGUAAAGAGCUCGUAGGCGGUCUGUCGCGUCGGCUGUGAAACUUGGGGCUCAACCCCAAGCCUGCAGUCGAUACGGGCAGACGUAGAGUGCGGUAGGGGAGACUGGAAUUCCUGGCGUAGCGGUGAAAUGCGCAGAUAUCAGGAGGAACACCGGUGGCGAAGGCGGUUCUCUGGGCCUUACCUGACACUGAGGAGCGAAAGCGUGGGGAGCGAACAGG